CCAGAAAGAGAAAUGGAAAACUGUGAAUGGUGGGGAUUUGUUGUGGGCAAUGUCAACAUUAGAUUUCGAGAAUUACUUGGAACCCUUAAAGCUGUACCUUGCGAGGUACAGGGAGACUUUGUUGUGUGUUUGUAUUGGAAAAACAGGUGGUUGUUCUUAGCGUGUCUUCACUGUCCAUGUAGAGGCUGUGAAGCAAAGUGAAGAAACAUCUAUCUAGAAUGAAGGUGUGACGUCAUUCAAAAUUAAUUUUCCUUCAAAGGUGUGUGGCUGGAGACAUCAGUCCCUUACAAGUAGUGGGUUGUUUCUCAAAGGUCAAAAAUACCCAGCUCAGAGCGGAACCACCUCCAUCAUCAUUUUUAAGGGUUAUUCCGGAGAACUAAAAACCUUAAAUUUUGAAUAUUUUGUAUUCACUUUAUCUGAUUUGUUAUGAAUCAAAUCAGUGGUAAAAGUUCAGAGUUUCUUACUCCAUUUUCAAAUGUUUAUGUGAAAGAUUCAAACCUUUCAUUUAGUUAAUAUCAUUUCUUUAACUUUAUGCUAUGUAAUUAAGGUGUUGGCCAUUUAGGCCACCCACGUUUGUCUCACUUUAGCUUUUGGCGAUUAGUCAAUCUUUUGAUGUUUUUCCUAUUAAUUGUGAUUGGUUUCUAAAGCAAAGUUCGUCAUCUUUCUACAAUGCAAAUCUUCGAAAUCAAUGACCACAACAAAAUAAAAAUUCACAAACACGGCUUACAUUCAUUUAGAUAGAGUAACGGUGUUCAAUCCACAUGUCAGUUCGUUUUCUUUUUGGUUUUUGGCAUUUCGGUUUAUAAAAAUAAGCUACCAUAUUAAUAUCAUAUCUAAUUCGGUUUAGUUUGGUUUAUAUACUAACGAUUUUUGGUUUAUUCGUUUUUAUAUUUU